rnacentral:rRNA from 1 species
GAGACCUCAGUCAGACGAAUACACU